rnacentral:rRNA from 1 species
AGCCAGGUGCCUAUAUACCUGGUUACUUCUGCUCAAUGGUAAGCUAAAUAGCCGCAGUACCCUGACUGUGCAAAGGUAGCAUAAUCAUUUGGCUUAUAAUUGAAGUCUGGCAUGAAAGAAAUUGUGGGUAGUAACUGUCUUCUAUAGACCUUUAGAAUUUACUAAGUAGGUGAAAAUUCCUACAGACUUAUAAUAGACGAGAAGACCCUAGAAAUUUUAAUACAAAAGUAUUUUAUUUACUUACUAUUUUGUUGGGGCGACAGAAUAACAGUUGAACUUAUUUUAAUUAAUUUGGACUAAUUUUUGAGAAAAAUUAAAUUACUCUAGGGAUAACAGCAUAAUUUAUUAAAGUUUGUGACCUCGAUGUUGGACUAGGGUUUUUAAUAAUCAGAAGUUAUUAAAUUAGGCUCUGUUCGAGCUUGGUCCCU